rnacentral:rRNA from 1 species
CUACGGGAGGCAGCAGUGGGGAAUAUUGGACAAUGGGGGCAACCCUGAUCCAGCCAUGCCGCGUGUGUGAAGAAGGCCUUUUGGUUGUAAAGCACUUUAAGCAGGGAGGAGAGGCUAAUGGUUAAUACCCAUUAGAUUAGACGUUACCUGCAGAAUAAGCACCGGCUAACUCUGUGCCAGCAGCCGCGGUAAUACAGAGGGUGCGAGCGUUAAUCGGAAUUACUGGGCGUAAAGCGAGUGUAGGUGGCUCAUUAAGUCACAUGUGAAAUCCCCGGGCUUAACCUGGGAACUGCAUGUGAUACUGGUGGUGCUAGAAUAUGUGAGAGGGAAGUAGAAUUCCAGGUGUAGCGGUGAAAUGCGUAGAGAUCUGGAGGAAUACCGAUGGCGAAGGCAGCUUCCUGGCAUAAUAUUGACACUGAGAUUCGAAAGCGUGGGUAGCAAACAGGAUUAGAUACCCUGGUAGUCCACGCCGUAAACGAUGUCUACUAGCCGUUGGGGUCCUUGAGACUUUAGUGGCGCAGUUAACGCGAUAAGUAGACCGCCUGGGGAGUACGGCCGCAAGGUUAAAACUCAAAUGAAUUGACGGGGGCCCGCACAAGCGGUGGAGCAUGUGGUUUAAUUCGAUGCAACGCGAAGAACCUUACCUGGUCUUGACAUAGUGAGAAUCUUUCAGAGAUGCGGGAGUGCCUUCGGGAAUUCACAUACAGGUGCUGCAUGGCUGUCGUCAGCUCGUGUCGUGAGAUGUUGGGUUAAGUCCCGCAACGAGCGCAACCCUUUUCCUUAUUUGCCAGCGGGUUAAGCCGGGAACUUUAAGGAUACUGCCAGUGACAAACUGGAGGAAGGCGGGGACGACGUCAAGUCAUCAUGGCCCUUACGACCAGGGCUACACACGUGCUACAAUGGUAGGUACAAAGGGUUGCUACACAGCGAUGUGAUGCUAAUCUCAAAAAGCCGAUCGUAGUCCGGAUUGGAGUCUGCAACUCGACUCCAUGAAGUCGGAAUCGUUAGUAAUCGCGGAUCAGAAUGCCGCGGUUAAUACGUUCCCGGGCCUUGUACACACCGCC